rnacentral:rRNA from 1 species
GUAACACGUGGGCAACCUGCCCAAAAGAGGGGGAUAACACUUGGAAACAGGUGCUAAUACCGCAUAACCAUAGUUACCGCAUGGUAACUAUGUAAAAGGUGGCUAUGCUACCGCUUUUGGAUGGGCCCGCGGCGCAUUAGCUAGUUGGUGGGGUAAAGGCUUACCAAGGCAAUGAUGCGUAGCCGAACUGAGAGGUUGAUCGGCCACAUUGGGACUGAGACACGGCCCAAACUCCUACGGGAGGCAGCAGUAGGGAAUCUUCCACAAUGGGCGAAAGCCUGAUGGAGCAACGCCGCGUGGGUGAAGAAGGUCUUCGGAUCGUAAAACCCUGUUGUUAGAGAAGAAAGUGCGUGAGAGUAACUGUUCACGUUUCGACGGUAUCUAACCAGAAAGCCACGGCUAACUACGUGCCAGCAGCCGCGGUAAUACGUAGGUGGCAAGCGUUAUCCGGAUUUAUUGGGCGUAAAGGGAACGCAGGCGGUCUUUUAAGUCUGAUGUGAAAGCCUUCGGCUUAACCGGAGU